rnacentral:rRNA from 1 species
UACAGAGGUCUCAAGCGUUGUUCGGAUUCAUUGGGCGUAAAGGGUGCGUAGGCGGCGCGGUAAGUCGGGUGUGAAAUCUUGGAGCUUAACUCCGAAACUGCAUUCGAUACUGCCGUGCUUGAGGACUGGAGAGGAGACUGGAAUUUACGGUGUAGCGGUGAAAUGCGUAGAUAUCGUAAGGAAGACCAGUGGCGAAGGCGGGUCUCUGGACAGUUCCUG